rnacentral:lncRNA from 1 species
AAGCUUGGCUCAUCCUGGCAUGGGUUAGCACAGUUGCUGGAAACCUUUCACUAUUGGGUUCUGCUGCAAACCUAAUUGUGUGUGAACAAGCUCUUCGUGCCCAGCCUAGUUACAAUAUCACCUUUUGGAGCCAUUUGAAAUUUGGUGUUCCAUCCACACUUAUUGUCACUACUAUUGGCUUAACUCUUAUAUAUUGCUAUGAUGUUUGAAGGGCCUAUUUAAAUUGGGCUCUUCUUUAGGCUUUGGAUCUUUAUAAGGUUCUAGGCCCUUCUGCUUGUAAUUAGGUUUUUAUGCAUGUCACUUUAACUCAGAUUUUCAAAGAUGGAUUUAUGUUUUCCUUUUUUUCUGCCAAGGAAGAAGCAAACUUCUCUUUAGAACAGAUGGUGUAAAAGAAAUGAUCUUCCAUUUGUAUACCAUGUUCCACUGCAAUUAUAUGCAGAAAUCCUAGGCAAGGUAUACUAAGUAAUAAGAGCCCAAAAAAGUUGUCAUAAUUUGAUAUUGUUAGACUCACAAUCCUAUAAUGUAAGUAGUGUCAUACCAAGAAAUCAUCAGCAAUUAAUAGUCUUUAAUACCUUAUAUGUAAGCAGGUAUGAUCUUUAUAUCCUAUAUCAUGGUAGUUGCAUCCCUCAUCUUAAAUGUGGGUGACAAAAAGAUUGAAAGUACAAUUUCAUACCUAGGUAGGAAUUCACUAUGAGUUAAUAACACCCUAAUAAAACCUGGCCUGACCCAACAACUCAACUCAAUAACCUGUCAUCUAGAGCUUAGCUUGAACUAGGUUUUACUUUGAAUUAGUUUUUUUUUUUGUCGACCCACCAACUCAUAAAUUAACCCAUCCAAACUAUUAACGUGAUUUAAACUAAGUUAACUACUAGGUUAGAUUUUAUAACUACAGAUCAUGUUAAAUUGUUUGAAUAGCAUCUACUAGCGUCUAUUGUUAGCAACGUGUCAACAUUCUCAAAUCCAUAGGCCAUCCAACCAUAGACAUGAUAGUUGUUGUCAGCUUUAUUAAAAUAACUAAUUUGCAUUGGAAAACAUUAUUCCCCUAGAUUUAGAAUCAUUGUUCAUCAGAAAGUUUAAUGGUGGUUUUGCCCUUCCCACAAAAAAACCAUUGAAUUGUCUAAUAGAGGCAGUACAGUUUUUCCAUAUGGUCCAGUGGUCAUUAUCAUAUUAUUUAGGGACAAGUAAAUCCUUUCACAUUUUAAAAGCAUAAUGAAACAACUAAAAUAUCAUUGGUAGCAGAAAUUUUAAAGCUGGCGUACAGGGGCUCUUUUCUUCUUUUCAUAUUGAUUUUUUUUUGUGAUAAUUAAGUUGGAUAAUAUGCAAUUUGGUAUUUUAAUAAAUAUAAAAUAUAACUAAAAAAACAAAAGUGGUUGGCGCAUAUAAGGCACGCACCAGUGUGUGUGAGGCGCUCACACUAUUCAAGAUAUGCAUGUGGCGCCUCUCAGUGGCAAAAAAAAACCUUUUCACCAUGUCAUUAGAAUAUUUGUGUCAUCAUCUUCCUUUUAGGAUGAAGUGUGGUGUCAGUGGUGGCGCAAUUUAUUGUUGGCAACAUUUUGUUUCUUUUCCCCUCUUUUCUCUCUUUCCCCUCAAAAUUCAUGAUGGCAAUACAAAAAUUAAGAGAGGUCUUAUGUAUUAAGAGCUUGCCAAUUCCUAUAGCUACUUGAUGUGUGUUGUUGAAUAAUCAUAACUGGAAGAGGUCACAUAACAUGAUGUGCUUGUGCUAAAUGUAUAGUGUUAAGGAUCUAUGAUGAGGUAACCCACACAAAAGUAUUGGGAAACCAUAAUGGGGGUGAACCAUACAUAAAAAGAUGUUUGUGGUAUUUGACAGUUUCUAACUGAGAUUUGAACAGUUCUUUCUAGCCUGAAAAUACUGAUGCAAGAACUUAAAAAAAAAUAGAUAUUUUUCAUAGUUAAUUUAAUGUUUUCUAUUCAAUAUUAUUAUGCCUUUUAAUUUUUUUUCCUAUUUAAAGAGAAUAUUUUUCCUAUUCUAUAAUAGGGUUUUUUAGUUUUUCUAUAUAAAGGGUUAUAAUAGUUUUUUGGAAAAUGAAGACUUAGACAAGUAAAAAUUGAAUAUUUUAGGUGUCUCCCCCUAUAUUUAUGAAGAGUUUUGAUUUGUAAUAAAUCUGGUUAUUCUUUGCCCUGUCUAUGUCAAAAACACACAAAUAUCAUAAUAAAACUUGAAAAAAAAGAAAUAUUUAUCAAAACAUUACAUAGUUGUUUUAGUAAAUAGAACUUCUAAAUAAUUUAUUUAUGAUCCAUACAAUCUAAGAGCUAAUAUAUUUAAAAUAAAAUUCAUUAAGGUUAGUUAAUUUUAAAUUAUUUAAUAUAAUUAAUUAUGUAAUUAAAUAUUAAUUAGUUACUAUAAUAGAUCGUUGGUCCACACUACAUUGCAGGCCGGAUUAAAAACAUUUAACGUAAAAAGCAACAUCUAUGCGUUUUUAACAUUUUUCUAGUAGAAAAAAAUUAAAUUGUGUGGGGAUUGACUAAUUGUGACCUGGUUAACUUGGCAAGUUCAAAGACAACCCAGACAACUAAUAAAAAUAUAGUUUCAUUUAAAAAAACUCAAGACGAUAUCUUUUUUAAAAUAUUAAGAUGACAAUAUAUUGGAUCAACUUAGGUCAACCAAUGUUAACCUGCCAAAUCCAACACUCGUGUCAUGAGACCAUGAUAACCCCAUAUAAAGCAAAUCAAAACAAAUUAUGUAGUCUAAUUCCCAAUCAACUCAAUGUUAAAGGAUGAAAUUGAAAAUAAAUAAAUUAAAAAAGACAAAAAAAAACCAACUCGAGUCAACCCGAGUUAACCUGUCAAACUUGCAACCUAAGUCAUAAGAUUGAGAUAACCCUAUAGAAAUCAAAUCAAAAUAAAUUAUGAAGCCCAAUUCCCAAUAAACUCAUUGUUGAAUAAUGAAAUUGAAAAAAAAAUAAAUCCAAAAAAAGAACACAAUAAAAUAACCUGAGCCUACCCGAGUUAACCCGCAAACAAUAACUUCGAUCACGAGACCAAUAUAACCCAAUAAAAAACAAGACAAAACAAAUUAUAAAACUUAAUUCUUAAUUAACCCAUUGUUAAAAUUGAAAUAAAUGUCUAUUAAAAAAAACUUGAGUCAAUUAGGGUAAUAUGCUAAACGAGCAACACGGGUCAUGAGACUAAGAUAAUCACAUAUAAAGCAAACCACAAUAAAUCAUGAAACCCAAUUCUCAACAAACUAAAUAUUAAAGGAUGAAAUUAGAGAGAGAAAAACAUGGAUUAAAAAAAACUAUUGCAAUGAAUAGUAUUGAGUAAGGUGGUGCACAGUAAAAACAUCACCCCUUUUAGUUUUUGUUGAUAAAAAAAUUGAGUUUAUUUAAUUUUAAAAUUUUAAAAUCAUUUUUGUUUUUAAAUAAAAUAAGCAUUUUUCCAUAUCUCAAAAACAUUCCUUCCCAUUCAUUUUAAAAAUAAAAGUUAAUGUUUCUAAUAUGAUUUUAUAAAACCUUAAAAGUUACGCAACAUUUAAAAAAAACUUACUAAAUACAUUUUUUAUGUUUUGCUUUAAAGCAAAGCAAAACAAUAAAGUCUCUGUUUAUUUUUGUAGUACAAUAUAGUGUGGUUUGCGUUUUGCCUCAACCACAUAUUUAAAAAUGUUUGGUUAAUAAACACAUACAAUAGUUUUGCAUACGUUCCAAUGAAAACUCUUUAUUGAAAUCUUGGUUAAGAAAAAGUUACAAUUUGUAGCUUUUCUUAACCUAUGUUUUCAAACCAUAAUCACAAAAACUAUUACAAUGCCAAAGACACACUAAAACCUAGAGAGAUAGGGGAUAUGGUGAGUGGAUGAUGUUGGGAAAUUUCUUCAAUAUUCUUGGCAUAAUAAUGUUUAUUGCAUUAUUUUAUUAGUGGUUAAACUAUUUAGGUUUUGAGGAGAUUAAGGAGACUCCAAGAUAUAAUUUGGUAAAUCAAGCAUAACUUUUAAUCCAACUAUUGGAUUGAGUUAGAAUUUUGACAAAGAAUUUUGAAGGCCAUGUUUCCUAUUAAGUUAAAAAUUCAUGAUGAUUGCAAAUUGAAAAGACCUUUAUAUAAAACUUGAAAGUUAUUGUGCAAGAUUUUUUUUAUUUACCUUAUUAUAUUUGGAUUGUUUUUCUAUUUAUCUAAGGACUUUUAAUUUAAAUAGUAUUUUAUUAUUUAGGAAUCCUAAUGUUAUAUGGAUUCUUUUAGUUAAGUAAGUUUUAAUUAGAAUUCCUUUCCUAUAAAGGAUUCUAGGUAUAAAUAGAGAUGUCUAGUUUAUUAUUUUUCACAUUCAGACUAUUAUUCAAAAUUUAUAAAAUAUCAUUGAGUUUUCUCUAAAUUUCUCUACAACUUAGGCUUGUAAUAUUAGAGCUUAAGGACUCUAGCUUUUAUCAACGUUAUACACCGCGUCAAUACAUAUCAAAGCAGGUUGGUUUUUUUUAUGGUUAAAGAUGGUAGCAACCUACUCCGCGAUGCAGGAGUGAAGGCCCUCUUUUUCUUUUUUUCUUUUUAUCUAGACCCUAGUAUCUAGAAGUCCACUGGACCGCAACUAAUCCGGUUGAGCCAAGUAAGCUAAUUAAAAAGUAAAGCUCUCUUAGUGAUGGUGUACUCCAUUCACAAGGCUCGAACUCGAGACCUUGCUUAAGGGAAACAAGCGCUGAACCACUUGAAUCAACCACCAUUGGUGGAGUGGAGGCUCUCUGAGGCACUAUACGGGCUCGGGAGUAGAAAUUAGAUCGUUGGGAAUGGAGGUUUGAUUGCUUGGAGAAAAUUGUAAUAGAUCUAGCUCAGCUAAUGGGUUUCACAAACAAGGAUCGUGAAGAGGAGAUGAACUUGUCUAGAAAUUUACCUCAAGACAGGCCAAACCCCAAACCCCAUACCUAUUAUUGAAUUCGAUGGGAUUACAUUAUAUGAUAUGAGAUUUUUGAAGAAAGGAUUUAUUAAAAGGUUAACAGAAUUGGAAGUUUACUUUUAUUUCAACAAGGUUCCUUAUCUUCAAAAGGUAGGACUUGUUACACACAAGCUUUAUUAUGGUGCUAGAGAAUGGUGAUUUGAAUUUCUAGACUUUAGAACUCGUAUUGGUACGUCUUUAAUUUCAGUUUGGCAAGAUUUGAGACAAUUAUUAAUUUUGGAGUUUAUACAAGAUGAUUAUUGUUGUUACCCAUUUUUGGGUCCCUACACAUAAAAGGAGAAAAUACAAAAAAAAAAUCAAAAACAUAUAUUCGAAAGAAAACAAAAAAAAUAAUAGUAGUGAGAAGAGGAUGUCGGAGAGCCCAGAAAAUAGCCAAAAAUUGAAAUUUGAUAGUAUAUGUUUUAUUGAUGAAAGACCUGUUGACAAAAAAAAUUCAAUUUGAUAAAGAAAAGUCCAAAAUCAAAUGUUUAUGGACUCAAUUAAAUUUUAUUGAAGGUUUAAUUGAAUUUAUAGAGGGUUUGACUGCAAGAAAAUUGAUUUUGAAGUCAAUUUGAGCUUUAAUUGGAAGAAAUUAAAGUUUAGAGGUCAAAUUAUAAUUUUUAAGAUUUGAUUUGGUCAAAUCAGGGGCUUAAUGACAUAGAUAUUAAAGUUUGAUGGUCAAUUAGGGACUUGAUUAAAGAAAUCUGAAACCAAUGACCAAACUAGAAAAUUGUGCGUAAAUAGAGGGGCUGAAAUUGACUAAAUCAGGGGCCAAAUUGAAAAAAUUAGAAGUUUAUUAAUCAAUUGAGGGUUAAAUUGCAUAAAUUCAAGACUAAGGAUCGAAGCCAACUUCAGGGUCGACGAUUGAAUUUGAUAGGGGUGUAAUUGAAUUGAUUCUUGAAAUCAAAAUUGCAAUUGAGGACUUGAUUAAACAAAUCAUAAAUUAAGGACUGAUUUAGACUUUUGCAUGUUUUUGGCGCCAUUUUUUAAAAAUGAAACGGCGCGUUUUGCACUAAACAACACCAUUUUAGUGCACUGUUCACCACAAAAAAAAGGAAAAGAGGAAAACAGUGUCGUUUUGAACAACAUUGUACUUCUUCUUCUUCUCCUAGACGCACACAGGCAGGGGAAGAAGAAGGAAUUCUCUCCUGUAUUUUCCCUCUCUCUCCCCCCACUUGCUCAAACCCUGACAAAACCCACGCCCUUCAUGGCCUACAACCAUCAUGGAAGGGGUAGAGGAGACAUGCUCUGCAAGCACCUUUGGGGCGACUGUACAAAGGCCACUCCAGCCACCCUACCCUGUCCCAUGACUGGACAGGGGUAAUGUAGCUCCCACUCCCCUACCUUUAUAAAUACUCCCCUCACUAGGUGGUGAGGAUGGUGGGAUGAAAAAACAAAGAUUAUUUAGAAUUGUAUUUGGAUUCUAUUUUCUAUUUAGCUUUGGACUUUAAAUUUAAAUAGUAUUUUAUUAUUCAAGAAUCAUAAUGCUAAAUAGAUUAUAUUAGAUAAUUAAGUUUUAAUUAGGAAUCCUUUUGUGAGGAUUUUAGUUUUAAUUAUAAAUCAUUUCUUAUAAAGGAUUUUAAGUCUAUAAGUAGUAUAUAUAAAUAAGAAUGUCUAGUUAAUUUUAUUCAUAUUUAGAUUUUAUAAAAUACUAAAAUUUUCUCUAAAUUUCUCUCGCAAUUAGAUAUGCAAUUAACUGUAAUACUUCCAUGCAGUAUUUGAUUGAGUAAAAAUCUACUUACCCGUAGUUGCUUGGAUCAGGUUUCAUACUCUCUUCUGGUAUUCUUUUGUGGAAUGUUUAUCACGGUUGAGGGCUUCAAUAGAACAGGAAUUCCUAGCAGUCUCUGGAGCUUGAUGGAGCCUCAUGCACGGUUCGAUCAUGCCAGUGGGAUUGCUGUGCUGGCCAUUGUAAUACUUCUUCUCUCAAAUGUUGCUUCGAAUGUACCAACUGGUAAGUUGAUGCCCUGAUUCUCUUCCUUUGAUUUAACUUCAUAGUACGGCUUUAGAGUCUUAAAGAAGGGCAAUAGUAAUUUCCAGUUAAUAUCACUUCAUGGUAGACAAUUGAGAUCUCCAUGGGAGGAGAAAUCUCUUGAGGCAGUAUUUCUGAGCUGGAGAAUAUGUCAACUUCACCGCUGUCUUGCAUGCUAUUAAUUUCCAGAUACAAUGUUUAAAUAUCUGAAAACGGUCCCACCCCGGUGGCGGAGCCACAUAGGUACGAAAGGGGUCAAUUGUCCUCUUAAUUUUUUUUUAAUAUUUUUUUAUUAGAAUAUUAAUAUAAUAAUUUAGUGAAUGAUUGGGAUAGGAAAGUUGUUAUUGCAGCUCAUUCUCUUUUUUUUUCCUUACUCUAAUUAUGCAAAUUCUCUUUUGUUUUCUCUGCCUCUCUCCCAUAUAUAUGUCCAGCUCGUUCCUUGCUCUCUCCAAUAUAUAAAUUUAUCUUCAAGUAUAGUUAAAUAAUUAACUUUUUUUGCUUUUUACUUUAUAUUUUAAGUAAAUUUCCUUUAUUUUUUUAUUUGUUUUAUUGUCUAAUUUUAAUUUUAUUUUUUUAUAAUUAAUUAUUGAAAAUAUUAGAGUUUAUGAUAAAUAUUUAAGAUUGAUAAUGAAAUUAUUAUGAAGCGGUUUUAAAAUAUAAAAAUUAAAAAAAUAAUAAUUAUAAUGUAAGUUUUUUUAUUUUAAAAUAUUUUAAAAUUAAUUUUAUUUACUAUGAAUAAUUAUAUAUAUUUUGAAUUGAUUUGUAAUGAAUAUAAUUUUGUAAUGAAUUGAUUUGUAAUGAAUAUCUAUAUAAUAUAAUAUUUGUUAAUAAUUUACCUUUUUAUUUAAAAAACUCUUGGUCCGCAGCUGCCCACCUCAUAGGUUCACCUGCACACAUAAGUCCUGAACUGUUAACGUUGUUAUAUGAUGUCUCCGUAGUAUAUUUCCCGCUGGCUGCGACUGAUCCAAAUUCCAUAUCAACUAGCACAAAUAUCUGUGCUCUAGGAACACGCAUUUACUAGAUUUUCAGCAUGGAAUGUCAUGCUAAAGGUUACUUUGGAAAUUGUUUGCUUGCUUUGAAAUGUCUUCGGCUGCUUUGACUGCUUCAGAAGAGAAAAUGUCCAGCAUCUUCAAUCCAUUUCUUAGCCUCUCAUUCUGAUGCGUCUUUUAAACGUAACAUGGAAAUAUUCAUAUGAACUCAUUUAUCUUUCUGGUUCCACAAUCCUUUUUGGAAUCUUUUAAAAGACUUUUAAUAACUUCCAUAUCAACUAGCAAAAAGAUCUGUGCUCUAGGACAACGCAUUUCCCUUUUGCUCAAAAACUACUAGAUUUUCAGCAUGGAACGUCAUGCUAAAGGUUAUUUUGGAAAUUGUCUGCUUGCUUUGAAAUGUCUUCCGCUGCUUCAGAAGAGAAAAUAUUCAGCAUCUUCAAUCCAUCUUAGCCUCUCAUUCUGAUGCGUCAUUUAAACGUAUCAUGGAAAUAUUCAUAUGAACUCAUUUAUCUUUCUGGGUCCACAAUCCUUUUUGGAAUUUUUUAAAAAACUUUUAGAAACUUCCAUCUCACUAGCUCUUAAUGAAUUUGUAGUUUUACUCUUUUCUCAGUUGGUUGCAAAUACUGGUUGAGCUACAGGGUGAUAUCUUCUUCUUUCAGAGCCAGUAAUUUAUUGAAGUUGCAAUGGUGGAGGUCUGCUAAGUGGUAGCUCACAAACAAGCUUAAUCUUGCAAGUUACAGAAAUGGUUCUGGGUUCGUUUAAGAAGGUUGUCUUAGGUUCAGUUGCCUUGGCAAUCUUUUGGAUUUUGGCAGUUUUCCCAGCAGUUCCUUUCUUACCCAUUGGAAGGACUGGAGGUUCCAUCCUCGGGGCAAUGCUUAUGGUUAUUUUCAAAGUCAUCACCCCUGAGCAAGCAUAUUCUGCCAUCAACCUCUCUGUACUGGGCCUUCUCUUUGGAACCAUGGUUGUAAGCAUCUAUCUUGAAAUAGCAGACAUGUUCAAGUACAGAACUCCAGUGUUCAAUUAGGUUGACAGAGUAACUGUGAAGAGAAGAAAGCUUGGCUCAUCCUGGCAUGGGUUAGCACAGUUGCAGGAAACCUCUUGCUGUUAGGUUAUGCCGCAAACAUAAUUGUGUGUGAACAUUCGUGCCCAGCCUAGUUACAAUAUCACCUUUUGGAGCCAUUUGAAGUUCGGUGUUCCAUCCACGCUUAUUGUCACUGCUAUUGACUUAGCUCUUGUAUAUUGCUAUGAUGUUUGAAGGGCCUAUUUAAAUUGAGCUCUUCUUUAGGCAUUGGAUCUUUAUAGAGUUUUAGGCCUUCUGCUUGUAAUUAGGUUCUUAAGCACAGGUCACUUUAACUCAGAUUUUCAAAGAUGGAAUUAUGUUUUCUUUUUUCCUGCCUAGGAUGAAGCGAACUUUUCUUUAGAAGAGAUGGUGUCAAAGAAAUGAUCUUUCAUUUGUAUACCAUAUUCCACUGCAAUUGUGUGCAAAAAUCCUAGGCAAGGUAUACUAAGCAAUAAGAGCCCAGAAAAGUUGUCACAAUUUGAUAUUGUUAGACUCACAAUCCUAUAAUGUAAGCAGUGUUAUGCCAAGAAAUCAUCAGCAAUUAAUAGUCUUUAAUACUUUAUAAGUAAGCAGGUAUGACCUUCAUAUCUUAUAUAGUGGCAGGGUGGCAGCUGCAUCACUCAUCUUAAAUGUGGGUGGCAAAAAGAUUGAAAGUAUAUCUGAUUAGGAAUUCUUAACAACACCCUAAGAAAACUCGACCUAGCCCAACAGCUCAACUUAAUAACCUGUCAUUUAGAGCUUAGCUUGAACUAGGUUUUACUUUGAAUUUUUUUUUUUUUUUAGCCAAAACAACAUUAUUUUAAAUUUUUAUAUAUAAAAAAACCAUAAUUUAGGUCAACUCACCAACUUAUAAAUUAAUCCACUCAAACUGUUAACGGGAUUUAAACUAAGUUAACUACUUAAGUUAGAUUUUAUAACUAUAUAUCAUGUUAAAUUGUUUGAAUAGCAUUUACUAGUGUCUAUUGUUAACGUUUCAACAUUCUCAAAUCCGUAGGCCAUCCAACCAUAGACAUGAUAGUUGUUGUCAGCUUUAUUAAAAGAAACUAAUUUGCAUUGGAAAACAUUAUUCACCUCGAUUUAGAAUCAUUGUUCAUCGGAAAGUUUAAUGUUGGUUUUGCUCUUCCCACAAAAAACCAUUGAAUUGUCUAUUAGGGGUAAUACAGUCUUUCCAUAAGGUCCAAUUAUAGCAACCCUGAUUUUCUAUGUCUUUUUUCGCGAUACAUUAGAAAUUUUCAGGUAAAUUUUUUUUUAUACAGGUUCCACUAAAAUUUUGGCAGAGUCUCCCUUAUAUUAGGAGGUCCCAAGUUAUUGACAAAAUCAUAUUACACUUUUAAUUUUAUUUCACAUUUCGAUCCAAUCAUCCUGGAUCUCAACCCAACUCAUCAUAAUCAACACAACACAUCUUAUUCAAUAACAUCAUAUAAUAUAAUUCAAGUGAAAGAUUCGAUUUCAACUAUAAAUAUGCAUGGUUAAAUCAAAUCUCUUUUACAACAUACAUUUUCCAUCUAUUACCAAUAUCCAUCUAAUAUCCUAUCCCAUUUGUCGAGAAUAAUUUCAUCUUGGAAAUCUCAACACAACUCAAUAGUUUUCGAACAUCAUCUCCUUAUAAAUCAAUUCUCACUUGAUAUUAAGAUAUUCCUCUCUUGCUAUCAUUAGCUUGUCUCAUUCUUUUGGAAUAACUAAUCAAUAUUUUCCCUCUUAUUUUCUGAAAGGUAAUUACCGAUACUAAGAAAUCUCAUUAGUAUCAUUAGUCUCUCAAUAUUGAGUUAGACUAAUCAAUUACAUUCACGUGUCGAUAUCAAUAUAACCGAUUGGUAUCAUUAACUAUUCCUUCCCUAGAAUAGUUAAUGAAAUCUUAUUCAUAUUUGGUUUACCAUCAAAGUUGAUGAUGUCAAGAACCUUUGACAUCAUUAGCCUCCUUACCUAAAGUAGCUAAUCACACCAGAAAUUAUUGUCGAUACCAAUGUGACCCAUUGAUAUCGUUAACUAUUCUCAACCCAAAAUAGUUAAUCAACUUAUCCUUUUCACUUAACUAGGAGUAACCAUGUCGAUGUUAGUAAUCUUUACUAACAUCAUUAGUCACCCAAUUGCUCGGGAUCGACUAAUCAAUUAAAAAAAUGUUGGCACCGAUAAAACCCCAUCGAUACCAUUAGCUAUCCAAACCCGGAUAGCUAAUCAAUAUCAUCUGAAAUGUCGGUACUAAUGGAACCUUAUUUAUACCAUUAGCUAUCAAAACCCGGAUAGCUAAUCAAUGUCAUCUGAAUCUUCCAUUUAUACCAAUCCCCUUCCAUUUUUCUUAUUAACAUAAUAUGCAUUGUAACCACGGUUGCCAAGUAUCAUUCGCAUACAAUCUUAGUUAUCGACACUACAGCCACUAAGCAUCAUUCAGAUAACCUUGUCACCCUCAUCAUAGUGCCAAGUAUCAAUUUAUGCCCUUAGCCACCCUCAUCAUGGUGCUAAGUAUCAUUGUAAUGCGUCAUUAACCACCGACACUAUGGUGACCAAUUAUCUAUCAUUUCUCCUUCAAUCUCUAAGUCAUUGUGAAUAAAUUCAUAAUGAGGUAUGUAAGAUAAUUACGUCUAUUCCAAAGUUAUCAUGACUAAUUCGAUACCUAUCAAUGUAAGGUAAUUGUAUCCAUCCUAAUAAUAAUAUAAUUAAUUUGAUACAUAACAAUGCACACAAGGUAUUAAUAUUCUUUCAAACAUUAUCCUAACUAAUGGAGGUAUACUGUUGUACGCAAGGUACUCUUAUUCAUUCCAAUAAUACCAUCACAAGUUUGAUACAUAUCAAUGUAUGUAAGAUACUCAUAUCCAUUUCAAUUAUAUCAUAACUAGUCGAUACACAUCAAAGCAUGCAAGGUACACAUAUUCAUUCCAAUGUUAUCGAAGCAAUAAAACAAUAAAUUCUGAAAUUUAUUAAUAAGUUACACAAAUUAAAAAGACAAGGUGUGAUGCACCUACCUAGAGUAUGUGCACAUGUUGCCACUCCAUGCAAUUGUCCGAUCCCCAAAGCUUCCCCUGUACCACCAGGGAUUUAGUUUUUAUCAACAAUACAACCAACAUCACAACUUCAUUUAAUUCUCAUUCAACUAGUAUUCUCAAAUUAGUCACAAGGAAUUUUCUUAGAAUCUCAUACUCUUACCCAUUUUCGUGUUCAUAUUCAUUCUUAUUUUAUUAUUAAAACCAUCACUCAACAGCAAUUCCAAGUAAAGAUUAAAAAUUGUCUAAUUCUAAUCAAUUUAGCUUAACCAACCCAGAACAUUAUCUAGUGUUUUAAUCAUAACUAAAGCUGUAAAACUCGGUUUUGGCGUGAUUUGUCUCUGUGAAAGGCUAAAACAUAGAAAUACAACUUUCAUGUAGAAAUCAGCUCCAAAUUAUUUUGUUUUAAGGCUUAAAAUCAAUAAUCACAAUAGCCCCUCCUUUAUAGCUAAAAUUUUGGACAACGAGGAUUUUUAUCCCUUGGAAAUUCUUUUCAACUUCCAACUUAUUUUCAUGCAUAAGCAACAUUAACCAAGGUCAUUUAACAUCAUUAAAUCACAAAUUUAAACCAAUUCUAAAACAAACUAUUUAAACAAUUUCCCUACCUCUAUAAUAUAGCAAGAUUCAGCCAAAAUAGGGGAACUCAUCCCUUUGGAAUUUCUCCUUUUUUUUUACACAUGCUACAUAUGUUAUUAUCCUUGUUUAGCAUUAUUAAUACAACAAAACAAUGAACCAUUUAUUUUCUUUCACUUUCUCCUCGUGUAAUUAAACAUAUACGACAAACCUUAACAAUUAAUAUUAUUACAUCAUUAUCACAACAAUAAUUUCACCCUACUAGUUAGAAUCCAUGAUAAUCUUCAUUAACUAAUCAAUUUGUCAAAAAUAUACUUAUGACUAGCCUUAAAUAUGUUUUAUUUUCCAAAUUUUUUUCAUUUCAAUUUCUUCAUGGUUCCACCCCAUUCAUAUCCACACAGCUAACAAGUUAGCCUUUUAUUCAAUCAGCAUGUUCAUAUAGUAAUGUUCAUUCCUAUUCUUACACCAUAAUCAUUCUACCCUACCUAUAAAGAAUACACAAUUAAUCUAUAACAAUAUUAAUAACAACAUAUUUACCAUUACAUCUUCCAUAAACCCUAACACCUACACAAUUCUAAUUUCAUCAAAACAUGUAUUUAAUCAAGUUUCCUAAAUUUUGCCAAAACUAACAAUAGAUUCAAAAAGCAAUAAGUCAUCUACCUUAGAUUUCAUUUUCUAACCCAACAGUCAGAAUAUAGAUCUUGGAUUCGUGCACAAUAUAUCUCAAAAUCGGAAUGAUCCAACGGUUAAGCCUCCCUAGAUCUGAAUAAAACCGAGCUAACCUGAAAAAUGAUGAGCUAUUGUUUAACAUGAAUGACACCCUUCCGAAGAGUGUGUUUCCGAUCUCCACCGUCCAGAAUGAAGGAAACAUCUAGGCGCACUAUAUAUCCAAAUAAGACAUGAUCCAGCGGUCAAAGAUAGAGAAAUCGACCAGCCAUCAAAACUACCCUGCAGGUGUAUUUCCUUUUGUUUUCCAGGAAAUAUCUGAAGAUGAUUUCUGUCAAACGGGUUAUGUGCUUUCAAAUCCCUCUAGCUAGUUAGUAGAAGUGUGUGAGAAGAAUAAUAUAUCUAUAAAGCAGUGUGAUCCAACGGUGGCUUCCAACGAUAUGGCCACCAGAGCAUUAUUGCCUUCUUUGGAUUGGCUCCAAAUUAUGCACUUCUCUCUCUAGCCGAAUUUCUCUAUUGUCUCUCACCUUUUUUUCUAGACUGGUUGGAUUCUUUGCUGUUUUAAAGGCAUAUUUUCCAUUAAUUAUAAUUUUGUCCCUUAUUUAUGCCUUUAUGUAUUUUAUUUUAUUUUUCACGUAAACUAUUUGGUUUGUUUCUACUUAAAUCGCUAGUAUUUACCGAACUCUGAUUGGGAUGAAAUAUUUAACCAAGGUAGAAAAACAUAUAAAUAGACUUUAUGCAAAAUUGCAUCUCGAUCUGGCGAUUGGAUUGAGAGCUUUGCUUUCUAAUGUAAAAUUGGUCAGUUUAUUACUUUUCAUCAACAAUCUAAAUUUUCUUAUUCAAUCUUCACAUAACAUCAUAUCAAUUAUCAUUCUAAACCUUUAAGGUCAUUUUAUUAUUUUGAAAUAUAUUCAGUUUAAAAUUUUCACCUUUAUUUAUUUAUCGGGCUUAUUACCGUUUUAAAGUAACGUCACUGAUUUUUAAUCGGUGUUUGCACCUUCAUUCUUGCCCUUUUCAUUGCAUUAUCCUUUAUUAUAAUUUAUUCUUUAUUACCUCACUUAUUCCCUAGAAACAUUAUGUCAUUUUACUUAUUAUUUUAUCCAUCAAAACGUGUUACUAAUUUCUCUGUCCUUAUGAAUUCUAAACCAAAAUUCAUUUUAUGAAGGUCAUCCCCUCCAUUAUAUAUCAUAUUUAUCUAUUAUUUCUUAUCUUGGUUUUCAUCACUCAUCAAGAUCGUACCAUUUUCAGUCUUAUGUUUACAUGGAAGUUUACACAUCCGCAUAUUUAAAUUAUAAAUUUCUAGGGUUUCACACCAAUGGUCAUUAUCAUAUUGUUCAGGGACAAGUAAGUCCUUUAGCAUUUUAGAAGCACAAUGAAACAACAAAAAUAUCUUUCUUUUCAUAUUGAUUUUUUUUAUGACAAUUAAGUUGGAUAAAAUAUAAUUUGGUAUUUUAAUAAAUAUAAAAUAUAACUAAGAAACAAAAAUGGUUGACGCAUGCAAGGCAUAAACCAGUGUGUGUGAGGCACUUGCACUAUUCAAGAUGUGCAUGUGGCACCUCUCGGUGGCAAAAAAUACCUUUUCACCAUGUCAUUAGAAUCUGUGUCAUCAUCUUUCUUUUAGGAUGACUCGUGGUGUCAGUGGUGGCACGAUUUAUAGUCAACAACAUUUUCUUUCUUUUCCCCUCUUUCCUCUCUUUCCCCUCAAAAUUCAUGAUGGCAAUACAAAAAUUCAAAGAGGUCUUAUUUAUUAAGAGCUUGCCAAUUCCUAAUAGCUACUUGAUGUGUGCUGUUGAAUAAUCAUAACUGGAAGAGGUCACAUAACAGGACGUGCUUAUGUCAAAUGCAUAGUGUUAAGAAUCUAUGAUGAAGUGACCCACACAAAAGUAUUGGGAAACCAUAAUAGGGUGAGCCACACAUAAAAAGAUAUUUGUGGUGUUUGACAGUUUCUAGCUGAGAUUUGAAUAGUUCUUUUUAGCCUGAAAAUACUGAUGCAAGAACUUUUUAAAAAAAACAUAUAUUUUCAUAGUUAAUUUUAUGUUUUUCUAUUCGAUAUUAUUAUGCUUUUUUAAUUUUUUUCCUAUUUAAAGGGAAUAUUUUCCUAGUUUAUUUUUCAUAUUCUGUAAUAGGGUUUUUUAGUUUUUCUCUAUAAAGGGUUAUAAUAGUUUUUUUGGAAAAUAAAGACUUGGACGAGUAAAAAUUGAAUAUUUUAGGUGUCUCUCCUAUAAUUAUGGAGAGUUUUGACUUGUAAUAAAUCUAGUUAUCUUUUGCCCUGUUUGUGUCAAAAACACACAAAUAUCAUAAUAAAACUUGAAAAAAAAGAAACAUUUAUCAAAACAUUACAUAGUUUUUUUAGUAAAUAGAACUUCUAAAUAAUUUAUUUAUGAUCCAUACAAUCUAAGAGCUAAUAUAUUUAAAAUAAAAUUCAUUAAGGUUAGUUAAUUUUAAAUUAUUUAAGAUAAUUAAUUAUGUAAUUAAAUAUUAAUUAGUUACUAUAAUAGAUUGUUGGUCCAAACUACAUUGCAGGUCGGAUUAAAAACAUUUAACAUAAAAAGCAACAUCUAUGCGUUUUUAACAUUUUUCUAGUAGAAAAAAAUUAAACUGUGUGGGGAUUGAUCAAUUGUGACCUGGUCAACUUGGCAAGUUCAAAGACAACCUAGACGACUAAUAAAAAUAUAGUUUGAUUUAAAAAACUCAAGACGACAUCUUUUUUAAAAUAUUAAGAUGACAAUAUAUUGGAUCAACCUAGGUCAACUAAGGUUAACCUGCCAAAUCCAACACGCGUGUCAUGAGACCAUGAUAACCCCAUAUAAAGCAAAUCAAAACAAAUUAUGUAGUUCAAUUCUCAAUCAACUCAAUGUUGAAGGAUGAAAUUGAAAAAAUAAUUAAUGAAAAAAGAUAAAAAAAACUAACUCGAGUCAACCCGAGUUAACUCAUGUUUCCUGCUAAGUUAAAAAUUCAUGACUAUUGGAAAUUGAAAAGACCUUUAAAUAAGACUUGAAAGUUAUUGUGCAUGAUUGUUUUUAUUUACCUUGUUAUAUUUGGAUUCUUUUUUCUAAUUAUCUUAGGACUUUUAAUUUAAAUACUUUUUUAUUAUUUAGGAAUCCUAAUGUUAUAUGGAUUUUAUUAGUUAGGUAAGUUUUAAUUAGUGAACAUGGGUAUAGCUCUUAAUUUUAGAAUGGGAAGAAUCAUAAUAUGUAGGAAUACGUAGAAAAUAAAUAGUGUAGAAGAAAAGAGAAGUGAGGUUGGCAGAAAACUCACUUAGGAAUCGCCGAUGAAUUUUGGGCAAAUUCAUCAUGCAUGUUCUAAGGGAUAUUUGGGCCUCAGAAUGAUAAAAUUUAGGAAACACCUCUCAGAGAAAUUGUAUCAUGAAAUGUUAACUUUUCAACGAAUUCGACCUCGCUCGAUUUGGAGCUCUAAAGCUCCAGAUAUAUGUGAAUAUAUAAGUAAAGGUCAAACUGCCGCCCCUGCUGACAGAUUUAACGAGAAUUAUUAAAAUAGUGGAUUUUGCCGCGAUAGGGGCAGAAAACCAGUUUCCUUCCUACCAAAAUUUUUGUAACAUUGAAUCGUGACUCUGGUAGGGAAUAAACCGCAUUUAAAAAUGAAGUUGAUGAUGUGCGUAAUGAUUUAAAACAAUGAAACGUAAAGAGUAAAUAUUGUUGUUGAUGCCUUGCUAUUUGCGAAAUGGAAACUGCACAUGAAGUGAUAUGGUAUACUUGUGAAUUCAGGAGGAACCGCAGAGAUAGUACAACAACAACAAGGGAACACAAAUCGAGCAUCAGUGGCAAGUAGGUGUUCCAUGCCUACACUCUCCUUAAUUGAUAAUAAACCUUGUAUUCAAAUUUAUGUUAGAGUCAAUACUUAUGAAUAUGGCUAAAGAAAGGAAAGAUAUGGUGAAACGGACAUGGAAUGAAAUCUGAUUUUUGGUCGUAGACUCUUGGACCUUGAUUUCGAAUAAGGACCAAUUUGAAGAAAAAAAAACCUAAAACAACCACCUUUAGACUUGAUUAGUUGAUCUCCAACAGGGGUGGCUAAUGAUGUUAGCAAAAAUUGUUAACAUCGGCAUGAUCUUGAUGGAAUUAUAAUGAACAUUGAACUUGAUUAACUAUUUGUAUCAAGAAUAGUUAAUGAUACCAACGGAUAAUGUCAGUAUCGGCAAUCCCAUAAUAACUUGAUUAGCUUCCUAAGGAGGAAGUUAAUGAUGUCAAGAGAACUUGGCACUGGCUUUAUUGGAAACACCUCCAAAUGAGAUGGAAAGGAAUUGAUUGAUUAUUUCGAGUUGGAAAUAGUCAAUGGUAUCGACCGAUUAAAUUGGUACCAACAUUACUAAGGAUUUGAUUAGUCGGUCCGGGUAAGGGUGACUAAUGACACUAAUAGGAGUUAUUAGUGUCAGCAGCGACCUCCUCAGAACUUGGGGCAGAGUAAUGAGAUGGAUGUAUCCGAUGAAGAAUAAUAUGUAAUAAUUAAGAGAAAACCAUAGGUGGUUGUGGAAGGAUAGGCUCUAUAUGUAGUAAAGGAAGCGUCAAGUGUGUUCUUUUUUUAUGGAUCAACGAUGUUAUGCCCUAUUGGUUGUGCACUUGUAUACAUAGAUACAUCUAGUAGUGACCCUCCAUUAAUUUGUUGUAUUUUAUUUAUUUAAUAUAAUUAUUCUCAUAUUUUGAUGAUACGGGUCUCUCUCAUUCAUGCCAGGAGUAGUGUCCUAGAUGUUUACUUCUUUUGCACGAGUUAGAAAAUUAGCGCCUCAAAUUCUUUUGUAUGAAUUAGGAAUUUCAUUUUCUUAAUUCCUUUUGUAUAAAUUAGGGGUCAUCAUUUCUACUUCUUUUGUAUGAACUUAGAAUGAAAUGAAUAUUGAAGUAUGUUGCUUUAAUUAAUUAUAUGACUUGAGUGAUGUUAGUAUUUUCUUAUGUAAAUCCUUGAGACUUAAGGCCUCUAUUAAUUUAUGUUUUUAAUAUUAAUGUUGCUAAUCAAGUUUAUUACUAUUAGUUUGUGUUGUAAAACUCUAUGCUGAGUUGAAUCUAUGGAAUUCUUAUAUUAUGACUAUUAAUGGUUGUAACUGCGAUGCAACAUAAAUAUGUGGUGAUUAUGGAAUGAACAUAAAUUAUGUGCAGGAUGAAUUGUCGAUAACUUGGGAUCUUCUAAUAUAGAAGAGACUACCAAAAUUUUGGUAGAAUGUGAAAUAAACCGCUAUAAAAAAAAAUUCUACCUAUAAAAUUUUAGUAAUAAACCACUUGAACUAACCAUCAUUGAUGGAGUGGAGGCCCUCUAAUGCACUAUACGGGCUCAGGAGCAUAAAAUAGAUCGUUGGGAACGGAGGUUUGAUUGCUUGGAGCAAACCAUAACAGAUCUAGCUCAGCUAAUGGGUUUCGCAAACAAGGAUCGUGAAUAUGAGAGGAACUUUCCUAGAAAUUUACCUCCAGAUAGGCCAAACCCCAUACCUAUUCUUGAAUUCGAUGGGAUUACAUUCUAUGAUAGGAGAUUUUUGAAGAAAAGAUUGAUUACAUUAUUAACAGAAUUGAAAGUUUACUUUUAUUUUAAAAAGGUCCAUAUCAUUAAAAGGUAAGACUUGUCACAUAUAAACUUUAUUAUAGUGCUAGAGAAUGGUGAUUUGAAUUUCUAGACUUUAGAACUCGUAUUAGUAUGUCUUUAAUUCCAGCUUGGCAAGAUUUGAGACAAUCAUUAAUUUUAGGGUUUAUACAAGAUGAUUAUAAAAGAGAUUUUAUAUUGAGUAAAUAAGCAAUUAUAUUGUUAUUAUUUGCUUUUUGUUAAACCUUCCAAAAUAGCAAGUAAGAAAAUUAUAGAAAAGGUGUCGUCUUUUCAAGGCAGAUAGUUUCAACAUCACAACAAUGACACCAACAACACUGCUGCAAAUACUAUUCUAAUUGUUAAUGUUUCAUCAAUUAAUGGUAAAGAAGAAAUCAAGAAGGCUUCUAAAUUAGUAUUUUGUAGUGAUUCUAAAGAUCUUGCAAAAAAAAAAACAUGGAGUACAUGGUAAUUUCUGACAAUUCUUUUAAAGAUAUAUAUUAUGAAAGAUUAUCUUAAAGUUUCUUUACAUACAAUGGUUAAAGUAUUGAAGAUCAUGGAUGAACUCAAGUUUGAAGCAAAAGAAUGUGGGAAGGAACUAUAAGUGAACUUCAUAAAAAUAUAAAGUAUAAUAUUAAUAUGGAUUAUGUUUUAGAAAGCACACAUCAUAAAUUAAAUUUUGGAGUUCACAUGUUAAAGACAUAGUACUUUGUGAAUAUAUUGGUUACAAUGUUAUAUAUUUGUUCAUUUAGAGUAGAAGAGUUCAGUUUUUUAUAGAUAACUUGAGGACAAGUUUUUCAAAAGUAAAAGGAACUGGCAUGUUCAUUAUUCUUGACAUAAUAAUGUUUAUUAUAUUAUUUCAUUAGUGGUUAAGACUUACAGGUUUUAAAGAGUUUAAGAAGAGUUCAAGAUGUAGUUUGGUAAAUCAAAUAUAAUUUUUAAUCCAAUUGUUGUAUCAAGCCAAACUUUUAACAAAAAAUUCUGAAAAUCUUGUUUUCUACUAGGUUAAAAUUUUAUGACAAUCAAAGAUCAUGAAAGCUUUUAAAUAAGGCUCGGAAGUUAUUGUGCUAAAUUGUUUUUAAUUACCUUGUUGUAUUUAGAUUUUUUUUUCCUAUUUUGCUUAGGGUUUUAAUUUAAAUAGUAUUUUAUUAUUUAAAAUUGUAUUUAGAUUCUUUUUUUUAUUUUUCUUUGGACUUUUAAUUUAAAUAAUAAUAUUUAAGAAUCCUAAUGCUAAAUAGAUUUUAUUAGAUAGUUAAGUUUUAAUUAGGAAUCCUUUGAUUGAGGAUUUUAGUUUUAAUUAGAAAUUUUUCUUCUAGAGAAUUCUAAGUCUAUAAGUAGAAUUAAUAGAAAUAUCUAGUUAGUUUUAUUCAUAUUUAAAAUUUAUAAAAUAUUAUAAAUUUCUCUAAAUUGAAAUCGUAAUAUUAGAGCUCGAAAAGCGUCCGGACAUCGUGAAAUUGAAAUCCACUUUGUAUCCAGGCCAUUUACUAAAUAGGUAGAGCCAAGUGAACAUCUUGCUAUUAACAUCUAUUCAAACAAAGCAAAACAAAAGCUUAAAAGGGGAGAAAGCGAGGAGAAGCUGCAAAAUCCUAAAAUCUUCAUUGAGUUCUAUACAAAAUAAUAAACUUAAAAGAUGGAGAAAAUAUGAACUCUACUCAUUCAAGCCUCAUUUCUUGCUUGCUUUGAAAUGUCUUCAGCUGCUUUGACUGCUUCAGAAGAGAAAAUAUCCAGCUUCUUCAAUCCAUUUCUUAGUCUCUCGUUCUGAUGCGUCUUUGUAAACGUAUUCAUGGAAAUAUUAAUUUCCAGUUAAUAUCACUUCAUGGUAGACAAUUGAGGUCUCCAUCUGUUUCCUCUGUUUGUUGUUGGAGGAGAGGGUUUGGUUGGGGGUGGGGGGAGAAAUCUUGUUCAAGGGAGUAAGUUUAAGAUAAUGUUCAGUAACUGUCUCAAAAAUAAAAAAGACAAAGGAACAUUUUUCCUUUUCUUCUAUAUUUUAAAAAGACAGAAACUCACUCCAAAACUGUUCUAAAAAUAUAUUUAUUUUAUAUCUUUGUUUUUGUCUUUUUAUCCAAACACGAGUAUGUUAUUUUAUAUUUAUUUAUUUUUUAAUCUUGAAAUACUAACCAAUCACAUUUUAAAACAAUUUUUAUUCAACCUAAACAUGCACUCUCUUUUUCGAGGAGAUAUCAUUCAUUGAAUUUGAAACAUGGUUAAAAAAUUUUGGUUGUGGGGUUUUUUGCUUCAAGAGAAAAACAAAUAAACUAGUUACCAUCACAAGACUUUAGAGUGAAAAAGAUAUUUUUGUUUUUUUAUCCCCUAAGCAGCUCAAAUUUAAUAAAAAAAAACAUUCCAAAGAAAAUGUUUGAAAGUAAAGUAUACUUUUUUUAUUUAACACAGAUUAUAACAUAUCCCAUUGCUUCAAACAUGUUGUUACAAAGAUUUAGAAGCCAAGCUCAUAUGGUGACUCUAUUUUCCUAGAGCCGUGUAUUCGUGUUGGUGAUGUUACGAGGAUCAAGAGUGUGCGUUCAUGCAAGGAUCAGGUAUGUAGAGUCUCUUACGGCAGUAUUUCUUCACUGGAGAAUAUGUCAACUUCACUUCUGUCUUGCAUGCUAUUAAUUUCCAGAUACAAUGUUCAAAUAUCUGAAAACGGUCCCACCCCGUAGGUCCACCUGCACACACAAGUCCUAAAUUUCUUACGUUGUUAUAUGAUGUCUCAGUAGUAUAUUUCCCGCUGGUUGCGAAUGAUCCAAAUUCCAUAUCAACUAGGAAAAAGAUGUGUGCUCUAGGACCACGCAUUUCCCUUUUGCUAAAAAACUACUAGAUUUUCAGCAUGGAAUGUUGGAAAUUGUUUGCUUGCUUUGAAAUGUCUUCGGCUGCUUUGACAGCUUCAGAAGAGAAAAUAUCCAGCAUCUUCAAUACAUUUCUUAGCCUCCCAUUCUGAUGCGUCUUUUAAACGUAUCAUGGAAAUAUUCAUAUGAACUCAUUUAUCUUUCUGGUUCCACAAUCCUUUUCGGAAUUUAAAAAAAAACUUUUAAUAACUUCCAUCUUACUAGCUCUUAAUAAAUUUGUAGUUUUACUCUUUUCUCAGUUGGUUGCAAAUACUGGUUGAGCUACAGGGUGAUAUCUUCUUCUUUCAAGCCAGUAAUUUAUCUGAAGUUGCAAAGGUGGAGGUCUGCCAAGUGGUAGCUCACAAACAAGCUUAAUAUUGUAAGUUACAGAAAUGGAUCUGGGUCCGUUUAAGAAGGUUGUCUUAGGUUCAGUUGCCUUCGCAAUCUUUUGGAUUUUGGCAGUUUUCCCAGCAGUUCCUUUCUUACCCAUUGGAAGGACAGCAGGUUCCAUCCUCGGGGCAACUCUUAUGGUUAUCUUCAAAGUCAUCACCCCUAAGCAAGCAUAUGAUGCCAUCAACCUCCCUGUACUGGGCCUUCUCUUUGGAACCAUGGUUGUAAGCAUCUAUCUUGAAAGAGCAGACAUGUUCAAGCACUUGGGAGUCUUGCUCUCAUGGAAGAGUCGGGGUGCGAAGGACAUGCUCUGCCGGAUCUGCAUUGUUUCUGCCAUUUCAAGUGCUCUGUUCACUAAUGACACCGCAUGUUUCUUUCUCACUGAGUUCAUAUUAAAGAUUGCUAGACAAAACAAUAUUCGACCCGAACCUUUCUUGCUUGGGUUGGCUUCAAGUUCGAAUAUUGGAUCCUCUGCAACUCCAAUCGGCAACCCUCAAAACUUGAUAAUUGCUAUUCAUAGUCGCAUCUCUUUUGGGGAAUUCGUAUUGGGACUUCUUCCCGCGGUGCUUGUGGGUGUCUUUGUGAAUGCUUUAAUUCUUAUAUGCAUGUUUCGGAGGUUGUUAUCUGAUGUUAAGGAAGAAGAAGAUGCUUUGUAUGAAAUGAUUGUUCAGGAAGAUUCAGCUGUCCAUCAGAUUUCGCUUGCUACCAUGUCAUCUCCCAAUUCUUUGGAAUAUCACGAAUAUGAUCCCAUUGCAGAACAUGUGAACGCCCAGAGGAUGUGUGAAUUGGAUAUGUGCAGUGAUUCCUGUGGUGAAAUUGAGCUGAUGAAAGCAGUCCUUUCAAAGAAGGAGGCAACUGAUAAUAUGUUUUCUGAAAUAGGAGAGCCAAUGGAGGAAAGAUUUGCAAGGGGUGGAGUACAAGGGACCAUGGAGAUGAUGACUGAUUUAGAGCCCGGGCCGCAACAGUCCGCUGAAGAAAGUAAAGGCCAGCUGAAUAGAUGGAAGAGAUUGUGUAUUUACCUUGGUACUGUUGGAAUGCUGGUUGCUUUUCUAAUGGGUUUGGACAUGUCUUGGACUGCACUCACAGCAGCCCUCAUUUUUGUGAUUCUUGAUUUCAAAGAUGCAGGGCCUUGCCUAGAGAAGGUAAAUCAACAGGUCUUUCACAAAGAUUCUAUCUCCUCUCCUAAAUAUAUUUUCAUCAACUGUAAUACUUACAUGCAGUAUUCGAUUGAGUAAAAAUCUACUUACCCGUAGUUGCUUGGAUCAGGUUUCAUACUCUCUUCUGGUAUUCUUUUGUGGAAUGUUUAUCACGGUUGAUGGCUUCAGUAAAACAGGAAUUCCUACCAGUUUCUGGACCUUGAUGGAGCCUCAUGCACAGAUCGAUCAUGCUAGUGGGAUUGCUGUGCUGGCCAUUGUAAUACUUGUUCUCUCAAAUGUUGUUUCGAAUGUACCAACUGGUAAGUUGAUGCCCUGAUUCUCUUCCUUCGAUUUAACUACAGCACUACGGCUUUAGAGUCUUAUAGAAGGGCAAUAGUAAUUUCCAGUUCCAAUAUCACUUCAUGGUAGACAAUCCAGGGAGAAAUCUUGAUCAAGGGAGCAAGUUUAAGUUACGUUUGGUAACUGUCUCGAAAAUAAAAAAUCACAGAGAUAACAAGGACAAAAGGAACAUGUCUCCUUUUCCUUUCUAUUUUAAAAAGAUAAAAAUUCAUUUCAAAAUUAUUUUAGAGAUAUAUUUAUUUUAUAUUUUUGUUUUUAUCUCUUCAUCCAAACACAUAUCUAUCAUUUUUAUAUUUACUUUUUUUUAUCUUGAAAUACUAACCAACCACAUUUUAAAACAAUUUUUAUUCAACCUAAACAUGCACUCUUUUUCGAGGAGAUAUCAUUUAUUGAAAUAUGGUUAAAAAAUUUUGGGUGUGGGGUUUUAGAUUCAAGAGAAAAAACAAAUAAACUAGUUACCAUUAAAAGACUUUAGAGUGAAAAGUAUGUUUUUUGUUUUUUUAUCCCUUAAGCAGCUCAAAUUUUGAAGAAAACAUUCCAAUGAAAAUGUUUGAAAGUAAAGUAAACUAUUUUUUAACACAUAUUAUAACGUAGAUCAUUGCUUCAAACAUGCUGGUUCAAUGUUAGUUGUGUUGGAAUUGAAAACAUGGUUAAUGAAUCAGUUAAAGACAAAUGAUAAUAUGUGUUUUCCUUUAAAAAACAUAAAAAAAUAAUUCAUUUAAGAAAAUAAUCGAGGCUAGCUCGAGUAGUCAUGAUCAAUCAAAUUAUUUAACUUUUUAACUUCAAAAAUCAAUUAUAAAUGAGGUGAAGAAAGAGUUCACGACAAUGUUUUUUUUAUUUUUAGAUACGCUUCCUUUCCUCAAAUCAUAGUGGUUUUUCUCCUUAUUUUUUAAACUUCUAUAUUCCUUUCAAAUCUAGAGCUUAGGUUCAUUUUAAUAAGAGAUUAUUGAGUUCAUCUACUUUGUUUCAAAAAUUUCGUUUAGAAGUGCAUGUAAACUAAGAUGGUGUUGAAUUAUAGGAGGCUUAUUGCAAAUAACUUUUGCACCAAGAAAGAAGCAAUAAAGUCUAAAGAAUAAAUGAUUCAUUAUUGACAAUAACAAAAGCUUUAUUAUUUAAAAUGCUUCAACAAAUAAGUAUAUUUUUAUUUAAACAUAGGUAUAUUGCAUACAUGUUAUAGUCUUUAUAUAUAUAUAUAUAUAUAUAUAUAUAUAUAUAUAUAUAUAUAUAUAUAUAUAUAUAUGUUUUAAUAAUGAUAAACUAAACAAUCUAAUAUGUACUUAUUUUUGGCUUACAAGUUCUUUUGCUUGGAGCAAAGGUAGCUGCUUGUGCCGCUGCAAUAUCUCCUAGUAAAGAGAAGAAAGCUUGGCUCAUCCUGGCAUGGGUUAGCACAGUUGCUGGAAACCUCUCGCUAUUGGGUUCUGCUGCAAACAUAAUUGUGUGUGAACAAGCUUUUCGUGCCCAGCCUAGUUACAAUAUCACCUUUUGGAGCCAUUUGAAGUUUGGUGUUCCAUCCACGCUUAUUGUCACUACUAUUGGCUUAGCUCUUGUAUUGGCUUAGCUCUUGUAUAUUGCUAUGAUGAUUGAGAGGCCAAUUUAAAUUGGGCUCUUCUUUAGGUUGUAGAC